rnacentral:rRNA from 1 species
UACGUAGGUGGCAAGCGUUGUUCGGAUUUACUGGGCGUACAGGGAGCGUAGGCGGUUGGGUAAGCCCUUCGUGAAAUCUCCGGGCCUAACCCGGAAAGUGCGGAGGGGACUGCUCGGCUAGAGGAUGGGAGAGGAGCGCGGAAUUCCCGGUGUAGCGGUGAAAUGCGUGAGAUAUCUGGAGGAACACCGGUGGCCGAAGGCGGCAUCCUGGACCGGC